GAUGAACGCUGGCGGCGUGCCUAAUACAUGCAAGUCGAGCGAACGGAUGAGAAGCUUGCUUCUCUGAUGUUAGCGGCGGACGGGUGAGUAACACGUGGAUAACCUACCUAUAAGACUGGGAUAACUUCGGGAAACCGUAGCUAAUACCGGAUAAUAUUUUGAACCGCAUGGUUCAAAAGUGAAAGACGGUCUUGCUAUCACUUAUAGAUGGACCCGCGCUGCAUUAGCUAGUUGGUAAGGUAACGGCUUACCAAGGCAACGAUGCAUAGCCGACCUGAGAGGGUGAUCGGCCACACUGGAACUGAGACACGGUCCAGACUCCUACGGGAGGCAGCAGUAGGGAAUCUUCCGCAAUGGGCGAAAGCCUGACGGAGCAACGCCGCGUGAGUGAUGAAGGUCUUCGGAUCGUAAAACUCUGUUAUUAGGGAAGAACAUAUGUGUAAGUAACUGUGCACAUCUUGACGGUACCUAAUCAGAAAGCCACGGCUAACUACGUG
rnacentral:rRNA from 1 species